rnacentral:lncRNA from 1 species
AAAAAACGGACCAAACAAAAACCUCAAAAUAAUAAAAUAAAUGAAAAAAAUUGAAAAACAAAAACUCAAAUAACCGAACAAGAAAAAGAAAGCAAAGACGAACGACGGUUCAAUGCUUCAAACGAACGACAGCAACUAGAAAUGGUUGAGAACUCUGAAAUGAAUGGCGAGAACCUCCAAAGCCCACGUCAAUGGAUGUUUCGUCCUUCAACAAUGCUUCAAAACCAACGGUGGUUGCAACGAUGGCAAACGACGGUUAUAGUGACAGCGAACGGUAGUUGCAGACGAUGGUUCUCUCUCGCACUCUCGCACAACCCUCUUUCUCGCAACUUCAAAAAUGAAAUUUCGAAUCCAAACAAGAGAAAGAGAAAAUGCAAACAUGAAACCCUUGAAACCCUUAAUUUUGGACUUUC